AAUGCAGAUGCUGCUGUGUUAAGCUAAAUUUGCAACCAGUGUGGGUUCAGACCGUCAUUUUUUUUCUAUUAUAGCCUUGGACCACUCAAAGCCUUGAGACUAGAGAGACUAGUCAUGGUGUUUCAUGCCUGUAAAUGUCACUGUUAUGCUAGCAGUGUCCAUUUCCAAUCUCUUGUGAAAAUUCGGGGAAAUAAGUGAAGGCUGGUGAAAGGCAGGAUGGCUGUAGAAAAUCCACCUGUAAUUCUGUUCUACCCAUUCCUCAAUGGGAAGGUGGAAGACUGUAAAUCUUG